GAUUUACAUGAAUUGCUCUUUCCUGGUUUACUUCUAACUGUAAUUGGUGGAGGAUUUUUUACGGUAGUUUUAGUAAAGGUUUGUGGUGUUCUUCCUCAACGACGUUUUAUGGCUGUCAGUAUUAUAAAUGGAGCAAUUGAUUCAUCAGCAGUUGUCCUUCUUGUAUUCAAGUUGUGUUUCAACGCUGGGGUUUCGUUUAAAAUCAUAAUCAUCGUUUACUAUGUCUUUGUCGUUGGUCAAGGCAUGUUGUUCACGUUUACGAUAUUUCCUAAAGAUCUGCCGGAUGACAUUGAAGAACAU